AUCUAGCUGACGAGUCCCAAAUAGGAUGAAAUGGGCGUCCUAGAU
rfam:Schistosoma mansoni, Puerto Rico, WGS project CABG01000000 data, contig: 0041